CACUAGAGGGAAGCAGACUUCAGCAAGAGGAUUGCAAUAGUGCGACUGCUAUCGUGGAAAGAUGUGUGGGUGGACUGUGAUUUUGAAAGACACCGUUCUUCUAUUUCACCAUCAGCUGGGACAAAAACAUGAUCAAAGAUGGCAAAGAAGGACUGGAAAAUUCUCCAGCAUCGGCAGUUCCUACUAUCUCUGGGAAAACACACCGACGCUUCAUCGGAGGCUGCGCUGAGGAUGUUACUAAGCAUG